UUUACCUUCUUGUAUAAGCACUGUGCUAAAAUUGCAGAUACUAGGACUGUAUCUUGGUUUUUGCAAUAAUGCUAGCAGAGUACACACAAGAAGAAAAGUAACAGCA
rnacentral:miRNA from 1 species